GAGAGCAGUCCGGCUUCCCUAGUACUGGUGCAGAUAGGUCCAGAUGUAUCGCCAUAUUUAGUAUCAUUGUGAUUACGAGGGUGUGAGAUAGAUGAGUUCCGAGAUUCUGGUUAUGUGUUGACGGAUGUGAUACACUGGACGAGUUAGAUGGUAAGAGUUGAGUGAUGAAUUUCUCCUUGUAUCCGUGGACCCGAUUGCAUGACCAGAAAUUUCGGGAGUUCUUAGGUGGGAAUUCAAGUAGUCACUUAUAGAACAAUCUUCCAACAGAUGCAUGAUGUGAGGUUGGGGUUCAACAUCUAGUGGAUUCAUUUGUUCACGGUCGUUUUACAGUGGUUCACGUUGUGUCUUAAAGAUACCUUGUAGCUUACUACGACUCGGGGACGCUUUGUAUGUCGUGUGCACUGACUUGUACAUGAUGGCCACUUUAGGAUAGAGCCCGUGCGAACCUCAUCCACGAAAAUAUUGAGCAGAAUCUCUGUCAUGAAUUUGUUCUGGGGGGGGGGGGUUUUAUAAGCCUCAACCUUGUUUUGUUGGAGUACGGUAAUUUAAGUUAUUUCGAUGUCAAGUGGUGAGUUCAUAUCUUUUCAAGCGGUGUUCUCAUAUUUCUAUGGGAAUGCUAAUUAAUUCUUUUGCUCAAUCAAGUUGUCUUAUCAAUUCUUUUCAACCGGAAUCGUCGUGUCAAUUCUUUUCCAUCCGGAGUGCUUCUCUUCAGUUUAUUAUAUCUUCCCCAAGAUUUGCAAGAUGAAUCUAUCAUUUCCUUCUGGAUUUUGUCUCAUAUGUCCCAGGUUGUCUUUGUUUUCCCCUCCCUCCCCCCUUUUCUUCAAUGAUUCAAUUAUCAUCCAAGUGCUCUUCUUUUCAGUAUUGCUUCCGCUAUCUUCUCUUCUGUGUCAUUCCGGUGAUUCAUUGUGAAGAUUCUCAAGAGUCCGAGAUCAUCAUUCUUCAUUCCUGUUUUCUUUUCCGGUGGAUUCAGUUCAAUCUUUCUGUGUUCAUCAAAUCCUUUUCAUUUGUUCAAUGCUCUCUCAUGUUGGAAAUUCUUUUUCAAACCUUGCUUAUUUAUUCAUCUCUCUCUAUUCUAUGUGGAGUGUUGAAAAU
rnacentral:lncRNA from 1 species